rnacentral:ncRNA from 1 species
GAGCUGGGUUCAGAACGUCGUGAGACAGUUCGGUCCCUAUCCGUCGCGGGCGCAGGAAAUUUGAGGAGAUCUGUCCUUAGUACGAGAGGACCGGGAUGGACGAACCGCUGGUGUAUCAGUUGUCCUGCCAAGGGCAUGGCUGAGUAGCUAAGUUCGGAACGGAUAAGCGCUGAAGGCAUCUAAGCGCGAAACCGACUCCAAGAUAAGAUUUCCCACAGCGUAGGCUGGUAAGACCCCAUGUAGACUACAUGGUUGAUAGGUCGGAGGUGUAAGCGUGGCAACACGUUCAGCUGACCGAUACUAAUAGGUCGAGGGCUUGAUCUA